rnacentral:rRNA from 1 species
GUGAGGAAUAUUGGUCAAUGGGCGGGAGCCUGAACCAGCCAAGUCGCGUGAAGGAAGAAGGAUCUAUGGUUCGUAAACUUCUUUUGCAGGGGAAUAAAGUGCAGGACGUGUCCUGUUUUGUAUGUACCCUGAGAACAAGGAUCGGCUAACUCCGUGCCAGCAGCCGCGGUAAUACGGAGGAUCCGAGCGUUAUCCGGAUUUAUUGGGUUUAAAGGGUGCGUAGGUGGUUUGAUAAGUCAGCGGUGAAAGUUUGCAGCUUAACUGUAAAAAUGCCGUUGAAACUGUCGGACUUGAGUGUAAAUGAGGUAGGCGGAAUGCGUGGUGUAGCGGUGAAAUGCAUAGAUAUCACGCAGAACUCCGAUUGCGAAGGCAGCUUACUAAGCUACAACUGACACUGAAGCACGAAAGCGUGGGGAUCAAACAGGAUUAGAUACCCUGGUAGUCC